CUACAGGCUUAACACAUGCAAGUCGAGGGGCAUCAGGAAGAAAGCUUGCUUUCUUUGCUGGCGACCGGCGCACGGGUGAGUAACACGUAUCCAACCUGCCCUUUACUCGGGGAUAGCCUUUCGAAAGAAAGAUUAAUACCCGAUGGCAUAAUGAUUCCGCAUGGUUUCAUUAUUAAAGGAUUCCGGUAAAGGAUGGGGAUGCGUUCCAUUAGGUUGUUGGUGAGGUAACGGCUCACCAAGCCUUCGAUGGAUAGGGGUUCUGAGAGGAAGGUCCCCCACAUUGGAACUGAGACACGGUCCAAACUCCUACGGGAGGCAGCAGUGAGGAAUAUUGGUCAAUGGGCGCUAGCCUGAACCAGCCAAGUAGCGUGAAGGAUGAAGGCUCUAUGGGUCGUAAACUUCUUUUAUAUAAGAAUAAAGUGCAGUAUGUAUACUGUUUUGUAUGUAUUAUAUGAAUAAGGAUCGGCUAACUCCGUGCCAGCAGCCGCGGUAAUACGGAGGAUCCGAGCGUUAUCCGGAUUUAUUGGGUUUAAAGGGAGCGUAGGUGGACUGGUAAGUCAGUUGUGAAAGUUUGCGGCUCAACCGUAAAAUUGCAGUUGAUACUGUCAGUCUUGAGUACAGUAGAGGUGGGCGGAAUUCGUGGUGUAGCGGUGAAAUGCUUAGAUAUCACGAAGAACUCCGAUUGCGAAGGCAGCUCACUGGACUGCAACUGACACUGAUGCUCGAAAGUGUGGGUAUCAAACAGGAUUAGAUACCCUGGUAGUCCACACAGUAAACGAUGAAUACUCGCUGUUUGCGAUAUACAGUAAGCGGCCAAGCGAAAGCAUUAAGUAUUCCACCUGGGGAGUACGCCGGCAACGGUGAAACUCAAAGGAAUUGACGGGGGCCCGCACAAGCGGAGGAACAUGUGGUUUAAUUCGAUGAUACGCGAGGAACCUUACCCGGGCUUAAAUUGCAGUGGAAUGAUGUGGAAACAUGUCAGUGAGCAAUCACCGCUGUGAAGGUGCUGCAUGGUUGUCGUCAGCUCGUGCCGUGAGGUGUCGGCUUAAGUGCCGUAACGAGCGCAACCCUUAUCUUUAGUUACUAACAGGUUAUGCUGAGGACUCUAGAGAGACUGCCGUCGUAAGAUGUGAGGAAGGUGGGGAUGACGUCAAAUCAGCACGGCCCUUACGUCCGGGGCUACACACGUGUUACAAUGGGGGGUACAGAAGGCAGCUAGCGGGUGACCGUAUGCUAAUCCCAAAAGCCUCUCUCAGUUCGGAUCGAAGUCUGCAACCCGACUUCGUGAAGCUGGAUUCGCUAGUAAUCGCGCAUCAGCCACGGCGCGGUGAAUACGUUCCAGGGCCUUGUACACACCGCCCGUCAAGCCAUGGGAGCCGGGGGUACCUGAAGUACGUAACCGCAAGGAUCGUCCUAGGGUAAAACUGGUGACUGGGGCUAAGUCA
rnacentral:rRNA from 1 species